CUGGUUUCUAGUGGCGGACGGGUGAGUAACGCGUGGGUAACCUGCCUUAUACAGGGGGAUAACAACCAGAAAUGGUUGCUAAUACCGCAUAAGCGCACAGGACCGCAUGGUCCGGUGUGAAAAACUCCGGUGGUAUAAGAUGGACCCGCGUUGGAUUAGCUAGUUGGCGGGGUAACGGCCUACCAAGGCGACGAUCCAUAGCCGGCCUGAGAGGGUGAACGGCCACAUUGGGACUGAGACACGGCCCAGACUCCUACGGGAGGCAGCAUG
rnacentral:rRNA from 1 species